rnacentral:rRNA from 1 species
AACGAACGCUGGCGGCAUGCCUAACACAUGCAAGUCGAACGAGACCUUCGGGUCUAGUUGCGCACGGGUGCGUAACGCGUGGGAACCUGCACUUAGGUUCGGAAUAACUCCCCGAAAGGGGUGCUAAUACCGGAUAAUGUCAUAGGACCAAAGAUAUAUCGCCAUGGGAUGGGCGCGCGUUGGAUUAGCUAGUUGGUAGGGUAAAAGCAUACCAAGGCGACGAUCCAUAGCUGGUCUGAGAGGAUGACCAGCUGCAAUGGAACUGCGACACGGCCUAGAAUCGGACGCAGCGCAGCAGUGUAUAGUACUGGACGCGGGGCGAAAGCGUGAUGAAGCAACGCCGGGUGAGUCAGGCUGCCCGUAGUGUUCCAAAGCCCGUUGACACGAGACGAUAGUGACAGUACCGGGAGAAGAAGCUCCGGCUAACUACGUG